CCUACGGGGGGCAGCAGUGAGGAAUAUUGGUCAAUGGACGGAAGUCUGAACCAGCCAUGCCGCGUGCAGGAAGACGGCUCUAUGAGUUGUAAACUGCUUUUGUACAAGGGUAAACCUGAAUACGUGUAUUCAGCUGAAAGUACUGUACGAAUAAGGAUCGGCUAACUCCGUGCCAGCAGCCGCGGUAAUACGGAGGAUCCAAGCGUUAUCCGGAUUUAUUGGGUUUAAAGGGUGCGUAGGCGGAUUGAUAAGUUAGAGGUGAAAUGCCCGGGCUUAACUCGGGAACUGCCUUUAAUACUGGUGGUCUAGAGAGUAGAUGCGGUAGGCGGAAUGUAUGGUGUAGCGGUGAAAUGCUUAGAGAUCAUACAGAACACCGAUUGCGAAGGCAGCUUACCAAUCUAUAUCUGACGUUGAGGCACGAAAGCGUGGGGAGCAAACAGGAUUAGAUACCCCUGUAGUC
rnacentral:rRNA from 1 species